AUUGAACGCUGGCGGCAUGCUUUACACAUGCAAGUCGAACGGUAACAGGCCGCAAGGUGCUGACGAGUGGCGAACGGGUGAGUAAUGCAUCGGAACGUGCCCAGUCGUGGGGGAUAACGCAGCGAAAGCUGCGCUAAUACCGCAUACGAUCUAUGGAUGAAAGCGGGGGACCGUAAGGCCUCGCGCGUUUGGAGCGGCCGAUGUCAGAUUAGGUAGUUGGUGGGGUAAAGGCUCACCAAGCCAACGAUCUGUAGCUGGUCUGAGAGGACGACCAGCCGCACUGGGACUGAGACACGGCCCAGACUCCUACGGGAGGCAGCAGUGGGGAAUUUUGGACAAUGGGCGCAAGCCUGAUCCAGCAAUGCCGCGUGCAGGAAGAAGGCCUUCGGGUCGUAAACUGCUUUUGUACGGAACGAAACGGCUCUGGUUAAUACCUGGGGCUAAUGACGGUACCGUAAGAAUAAGCACCGGCUAACUACGUGCCAGCCGCCGCGGUAAUAC
rnacentral:rRNA from 1 species